rnacentral:rRNA from 1 species
GAUCGGCCCGCGUCUGAUUAGCUAGUUGGUGAGGUAAGAGCUCACCAAGGCUACGAUCAGUAGCAGGUCUGAGAGGAUGAUCUGCCACACUGGGACUGAGACACGGCCCACACUCCUACGGGAGGCAGCAGUUAUGAAUAUUGGACAAUGGGCGCAAGCCUGAUCCAGCCAUGCCGCGUGUGUGAUGAAGGCCCUAGGGUUGUAAAGCACUUUCGUUGGGGAAGAUAAUGACCGUACCCAAAGAAGAAGCACCGGCUAACUUCGUGCCAGCAGCCGCGGUAAUACGAAGGGUGCAAGCGUUGUUCGGAAUCACUGGGCGUAAAGAAUGCGUAGGCGGCUUGAUAAGUCAGGAGUGAAAUCCCAGGGCUCAACCCUGGAACUGCUUUUGAAACUAUCUUGCUAGAGUCCCGGAGGGGUUAGCGGAAUUCCGAGUGUAGAGGUGAAAUUCGCAGAUAUUCGGAGGAACACCAGUGGCGAAGGCGGCUAACUGGACGGGAACUGACGCUGAGGCAUGAAAGUGUGGGGAUCAAACAGGAUUAGAUACCCUGGUAGUCCACACCGUAAACGAUGUGUGCUAGUUGUCGGGCAGCUUUGCUGGUCGGUGACGGAACCUUACGUUUUUAGCACCCCGGCCUGGGAA